GGAGAAAGAGGCGGUGGACGAGGAGGAAGAGGCAGUGUACAAGGCCAAAGGGUGUCAGUGGGAGGCAGAGUGUUGGAGACGGGAGACGGCAGAUGGUACUGCAACUGGCAGUGUCAGAAUAGGAGAAGGAGGAGGCGGUGGUGGUGGAG